rnacentral:rRNA from 1 species
UCAAGUGAAGAAGCGCAUACGGUGGAUGCCUUGGCAGUCAGAGGCGAUGAAAGACGUGGUAGCCUGCGAAAAGCUUCGGGGAGUCGGCAAACAGACUUUGAUCCGGAGAUCUCUGAAUGGGGGAACCCACCUAGGAUAACCUAGGUAUCUUGUACUGAAUCCAUAGGUGCAAGAGGCGAACCAGGGGAACUGAAACAUCUAAGUACCCUGAGGAAAAGAAAUCAACCGAGAUUCCCUUAGUAGUGGCGAGCGAACGGGGAUUAGCCCUUAAGCUUCAUUGAUUUUAGCGGAACGCUCUGGAAAGUGCGGCCAUAGUGGGUGAUAGCCCCGUACGCGAAAGGAUCUUUGAAGUGAAAUCGAGUAGGACGGAGCACGAGAAACUUUGUCUGAACAUGGGGGGACCAUCCUCCAAGGCUAAAUACUACUGACUGACCGAUAGUGAACCAGUACCGUGAGGGAAAGGCGAAAAGAACCCCGGAGAGGGGAGUGAAAUAGAACCUGAAACCGUAUGCGUACAAGCAGUGGGAGCCUACUUGUUAGGUGGCUGCGUACCUUUUGUAUAAUGGGUCAGCGACUUAUAUUCAGUGGCAAGCUUAACCGUAUAGGGUAGGCGUAGCGAAAGCGAGUCUUAAUAGGGCGUUUAGUCGCUGGGUAUAGACCCGAAACCGGGCGAUCUAUCCAUGAGCAGGUUGAAGGUUAGGUAACACUGACUGGAGGACCGAACCCACUCCCGUUGAAAAGGUAGGGGAUGACUUGUGGAUCGGAGUGAAAGGCUAAUCAAGCUCGGAGAUAGCUGGUUCUCCUCGAAAGCUAUUUAGGUAGCGCCUCAUGUAUCACUCUGGGGGGUAGAGCACUGUUUCGGCUAGGGGGUCAUCCCGACUUACCAAACCGAUGCAAACUCCGAAUACCCAGAAGUGCCGAGCAUGGGAGACACACGGCGGGUGCUAACGUCCGUCGUGAAAAGGGAAACAACCCAGACCGCCAGCUAAGGUCCCAAAGUUGUGGUUAAGUGGUAAACGAUGUGGGAAGGCUUAGACAGCUAGGAGGUUGGCUUAGAAGCAGCCAUCCUUUAAAGAAAGCGUAAUAGCUCACUAGUCGAGUCGGCCUGCGCGGAAGAUGUAACGGGGCUCAAACCACACACCGAAGCUGCGGGUGUCACGUAAGUGACGCGGUAGAGGAGCGUUCUGUAAGCCUGUGAAGGUGAGUUGAGAAGCUUGCUGGAGGUAUCAGAAGUGCGAAUGCUGACAUGAGUAACGACAAUGGGUGUGAAAAACACCCACGCCGAAAGACCAAGGGUUCCUGCGCAACGUUAAUCGACGCAGGGUUAGUCGGUUCCUAAGGCGAGGCUGAAAAGCGUAGUCGAUGGGAAACAGGUUAAUAUUCCUGUACUUCUGGUUACUGCGAUGGAGGGACGGAGAAGGCUAGGCCAGCUUGGCGUUGGUUGUCCAAGUUUAAGGUGGUAGGCUGAAAUCUUAGGUAAAUCCGGGGUUUCAAGGCCGAGAGCUGAUGACGAGUCGUCUUUUAGAUGACGAAGUGGUUGAUGCCAUGCUUCCAAGAAAAGCUUCUAAGCUUCAGGUAACCAGGAACCGUACCCCAAACCGACACAGGUGGUCGGGUAGAGAAUACCAAGGCGCUUGAGAGAACUCGGGUGAAGGAACUAGGCAAAAUGGCACCGUAACUUCGGGAGAAGGUGCGCCGGCUAGGGUGAAGGAUUUACUCCGUAAGCUCUGGCUGGUCGAAGAUACCAGGCCGCUGCGACUGUUUAUUAAAAACACAGCACUCUGCAAACACGAAAGUGGACGUAUAGGGUGUGACGCCUGCCCGGUGCCGGAAGGUUAAUUGAUGGGGUUAGCGCAAGCGAAGCUCUUGAUCGAAGCCCCGGUAAACGGCGGCCGUAACUAUAACGGUCCUAAGGUAGCGAAAUUCCUUGUCGGGUAAGUUCCGACCUGCACGAAUGGCGUAACGAUGGCGGCGCUGUCUCCACCCGAGACUCAGUGAAAUUGAAAUCGCUGUGAAGAUGCAGUGUAUCCGCGGCUAGACGGAAAGACCCCGUGAACCUUUACUGUAGCUUUGCACUGGACUUUGAGCCUGCUUGUGUAGGAUAGGUGGGAGGCUUUGAAGCGUGGACGCCAGUUCGCGUGGAGCCAUCCUUGAAAUACCACCCUGGCAUGCUUGAGGUUCUAACUCUGGUCCGUGAUCCGGAUCGAGGACAGUGUAUGGUGGGCAGUUUGACUGGGGCGGUCUCCUCCUAAAGAGUAACGGAGGAGUACGAAGGUGCGCUCAGACCGGUCGGAAAUCGGUCGCAGAGUAUAAAGGCAAAAGCGCGCUUGACUGCGAGACAGACACGUCGAGCAGGUACGAAAGUAGGUCUUAGUGAUCCGGUGGUUCUGUAUGGAAGGGCCAUCGCUCAACGGAUAAAAGGUACUCCGGGGAUAACAGGCUGAUACCGCCCAAGAGUUCAUAUCGACGGCGGUGUUUGGCACCUCGAUGUCGGCUCAUCACAUCCUGGGGCUGAAGCCGGUCCCAAGGGUAUGGCUGUUCGCCAUUUAAAGUGGUACGCGAGCUGGGUUUAGAACGUCGUGAGACAGUUCGGUCCCUAUCUGCCGUGGACGUUUGAGAUUUGAGAGGGGCUGCUCCUAGUACGAGAGGACCGGAGUGGACGAACCUCUGGUGUUCCGGUUGUCACGCCAGUGGCAUUGCCGGGUAGCUAUGUUCGGAAAAGAUAACCGCUGAAAGCAUCUAAGCGGGAAACUUGCCUCAAGAUGAGAUCUCACUGGGAACUUGAUUCCCCUGAAGGGCCGUCGAAGACUACGACGUUGAUAGGCUGGGUGUGUAAGCGUUGUGAGGCGUUGAGCUAACCAGUACUAAUUGCCCGUGAGGCUUGACCAU